AGGAUUCCCCUAGUAACGGCGAGUGAAGAGGGAAGAGCCCAGCACCGAAGCCUGCGGCAGUUUUGCUGUUAGGCAAUGUGGUGUUUGGGUCGGCUCGUGGGACCGCCACUCCACUCGAAGUCCAGCAUUGAGUAUGGUUUCUGGAUUUGGCCCAGAGAGGGUGAAAGGCCCGUACGGGUGGAGUAUCAGACAUGUGAGGUGGUUCACCAGGCCGGCCUUAGAGUCGGGUUGUUUGGGAAUGCAGCCCAAAGCGGGUGGUAAACUCCAUCCAAGGCUAAAUACUAACACGAGUCCGAUAGCGAACAAGUACCGUGAGGGAAAGUUGAAAAGUACUCUGAAGAGAGAGUAAACAGUACGUGAAACCGCAUGCAGGUAAACGGGUGGCGUCAAGCUGCAGGCCCAGAGAAUUCAGUCGGCUAGGAUGUUGUGUAUGCGCCUGGCGCAUCUAUCAGUCGGAGUAUGAUUGGGUAGUCCACCAGUAAACGGUGGGCCCGGCCGCAAGGUCGGGAUACGUGUACCGGACGGGUGCCGGAGCGUGCUAUCCAUCUGUGGACUGUCUAGCCGGUGCACUUUCUCUGUGGUCAACACCACGACCGGUGGUAUUGCCAGUCUGCUGUGUCCAAGUUGCAUCUGGUGGGUCCUCGUGGCUUACUGGGUGUGAUCACAGGCAAAGUCAGUAAACGGCGUAGAGGUGUUUCGGCACUUUUGCGUGUUAUCGGAUGCUGUUUGUGAACGGGCCUGCUCGGUGUUUGUUGUAACCGACUCUGGGUGGUCCGGUGGGACAUGGUGGUAAGAAUAACUGUGCAAGGCACCGGGGUUAUCGGCCUCAAAUGCGCCCUGCACCCACGUUGCAAGUGGUAUGUAAUAUCGGCGGUGUCGUUGCUGCCUGCCCGGUGUUGGGUGUGAUUGGCGUGUUGCCUGCUCAAAGUGGUAGGUCCGCCAGUGGCUCGACUCGGGAUGGGUAGUUGGCGGUGCUUUCGGUGUGGGGCGUUGUGGGCCAAAA
rnacentral:rRNA from 1 species